CAGCACCUGCUUCUAAGUGCGGUUUUCUCCCCGAUUUGUGCCAAAAGUCCGCCCCUUUGCUCCUUACGGCACAGCGAAGGAGGCACGACGGGAGAAGCCUUCUUCAUGUACACCUACAACUCCAAGAUAUUUGAAUGCAUCCCUUUUAUAUACUCGGGAUCUGGGGGAAAUAAUAACCGCUUCUGGUCGAAAAGGGAUUGCGAGGAGACUUGCCUGGCAUCAAAUGAAGAAUGAAUGUGAUGGCCUUACAUUUAUCAAGGAUCAAAAACCUAUUACGGAGCCAUCCACAAAACCACUCACCGUUUCCCAUCAAUAAAAAAUAUACAUAAAACUCCCUGGCGUCUGUCACAUUAGCACAUCAUUCAUAAGGACAUGUGCCAAUGGUUUUCAAAUAUGUUUUCCACCAACGGCAGGGAAAACAACGAGACCAAAAACGAAAACGACUGUGUCGACCUCCCAGGCGAAUUCGCAUUCGCAGGCUCGGCGAGAUUUGCGUUUGCCAAAAUGUCAAUAAACACCCGAUGAACGGACAGCGGAGAUAUUGACAUUUA